rnacentral:misc_RNA from 1 species
CUCGAUUAUCAUAUCAUCUCUCUCUGUUUCAAAACAAUUGUGGCUUUACAAUUUCAAUGUGAUUUAUUUAUUUAUAUAAGUUUACUAGUUUACCCUUGAAUGGUAAAAAGAUUUCUUAUUUUGUGUGAGAUGCAAAACGAAGGCUCUAAAUGGCCUUUGAAUUCAGCUGAAUUCAACGGUAAAGAGAUGAACAAGGCUUCGUUAAACAACUCGCGCAUGAUGAAGAACAAGGAUUCACUAUGUUAUCGCGUCAAGGUUCUUGCUGCUACUGUAUGAUUUAUGUGUCACAAA